rnacentral:lncRNA from 1 species
GUGGAGGUGUUGAUUCUAGAAGACAGUAUAGAGGAGUGGAGGUGUUGAUUCUAGAAGACAGUAUGGAGGAGUGAAAGAGUGCAGGUGUUGAUUCUAGUAGACAGUAUAGAGGAGUGGAGGUGUUGAUUCUAGUAGACAGUAUAGAGGAGUGGAGGUGUUGAUUCUAGAAGACAGUUUGGAGGAUUGGAGGUGUAGAUUCUAGUAGACAGUAUGGAGGAGUGGAGGUGUUGAUUCUAGAAGACAGUAUGGAGGAGUGCAGGUGUUGAUUCUAGAAGACAGUUUGGAGGAGUGGAGAUGUAGAUUAUAGUAGACAGUAUGGAGGAGUGGAGGUGUUGAUUCUAGAAGACAGUAUGGAGGAGUGGAGGUGUUGAUUCUAGAAGACAGUUAGGAGGAGUGGAGGUGUUGAUUCUAGUAGACAGUAUGGAGGAGUGGAGGUGUUGAUUCUAGUAGACAGUAUGGAGGAAUGAAAGAGUGGAGGUGUUGAUUCUAAUAGACAGUACGGAGGAGUGGAGGUGUUGAUUCUAAUAGACAGUAUAGAGGAGUGGAGGUGUUGAUUCUAGAAG